GCCACCUUGGCUCCUAAAGGCCAGAUUUAGAGGAAGAGGGGGGCAAGCUUUGCGUACCUCAUUCGCAACACAGCUGGGAGGAAAGCAAACUGCCUGAAAUGCAGCCUAAGAAUUCGGUGAAGAAGGGAGCGCAGCAGACAAACAGGCCAGGUGCCGGCGAUGCAAAUGAAAUGGAUGACAGAUGGCGAGUAGCACGCUCACUCACUGCGCCUGUAUAAUGGAUAGAGGCUGGUUGCCUGGACAGCAGACACAAUGCUUCUACUCCGCUGGAAAAUCUGAAGCUACAAAGAUGAUUUUCAGAAUUAAGGGCAACUCACAGCUGAAAAUUAUACCUUUGGGCAAAGGGCCAACUCGGGAUGCGUUUCACUCUGAUUUGGAGCCGUGCCAUCGUCCCUCAGUCCCAUUUGUUCGGUUUUUAGCUAACAAACAAAAAGGAAAAUACUGAGAGUGAGCUGAAAUGUAGCUGCUCCGAAGUCGGGAUUUUAAGGUCUUGCUAAGAUGCGUGUUAACAUGGAGAGCCACACGGUGACAACAAGAAUCACUGGGCAUUCUGGAACAACCAGGCACAUGUCUCUGGAAGGAAGGCUGCUUGUUAGUGGAGCUGUUCUGCGUCCCUUCGCGCCCCAGCCAGCGGGCAUCCGCAAAAGGAGCGUGGGAGGGGCUGGGCCACCUGCCCAAGCAGGACAGCAUUCUGAUGUUACCAGGAUUUGUCCUGUGGACGGGAUUUGUCCUGUGGACGGGACCCAUUUCUAAAAUAAAUGCGUGGUGCCAUGUCA
rnacentral:lncRNA from 1 species